AUUGAACGCUGGCGGAAUGCUUUACACAUGCAAGUCGAGCGGCAGCGCGGCCUUCGGGCUGGCGGCGAGCGGCGAACGGGUGAGUAAUGCAUCGGAACAUGCCCAGUCGUGGGGGAUAACACUUCGAAAGAAGUGCUAAUACCGCAUACGUCCUGAGGGGGAAAGCGGGGGAUCGCAAGACCUCGCGCGAUUGGAGUGGCCGAUGUCAGAUUAGCUAGUUGGUGGGGUAAAGGCCUACCAAGGCGACGAUCUGUAGCUGGUCUGAGAGGAUGAUCAGCCAUACUGGGACUGAGACACGGCCCAGACUCCUACGGGAGGCAGCAGUGGGGAAUUUUGGACAAUGGGGGCAACCCUGAUCCAGCCAUUCCGCGUGAGUGAAGAAGGCCUUCGGGUUGUAAAGCUCUUUCGGCAGGAACGAAACGGUGGGCUCUAACAUAGUCCGCUAAUGACGGUACCUGAAGAAGAAGCACCGGCUAACUACGUG
rnacentral:rRNA from 1 species